rnacentral:rRNA from 1 species
GUGCCAGCAGCCGCGGUAAUACCGGCACCUCAAGUGGUCGUCGCUUUUAUUGGGCCUAAAACGUCCGUAGCCGGUUUGGUAAACCCGUGGGUAAAUCAACCAGCUUAACUGGUUGAAUUCUGCGGAGACUGCCAAACUUGGAACCGGGAGAGGUGUGGGGAACUCUUGGGGUAGGGGUAAAAUUUGUUUAUCCCAAGGGGACCACCUGUUGCGAAGGCGCCACACUAGAACGGAUUCGACGGUCAGGGACGAAGCCUAGGGGCACGAACCGGAUUAGAUACCCGGGUAGUCCUAGGUGUAAACGCUGUGGACUUGGUGUCGGGAGUCCCUCGAGGGCCUCCGGUGCCGCAGCGAAGGUGUUAAGUCCACUGCCUGGGGAGUACGGUCGCAAGGCUGAAACUUAAAGGAAUUGGCGGGGGAGCACUGCAACGGGAGGAGCGUGCGGUUUAAUUGGAUUCAACGCCGGAAAACUCACCAGAGCCGACUGUCAGAUGAAGACCAGCGUAAUGAGCUUGUCGGAUUGUCAAAGAGGUGGUGCAUGGCCGUC